rnacentral:rRNA from 1 species
GGUCAAUGGACGCAAGUCUGAACCAGCCAUGCCGCGUGCAGGAUGAAGGUCCUCUGGAUUGUAAACUGCUUUUCUCUGGGAAGAAAUCCUUGAUUUCUAUCGAGGUUGACGGUACCAGAGGAAUAAGCACCGGCUAACUCCGUGCCAGCAGCCGCGGUA